AGGGGAAGAGGCAUCCAAGUUGCAGUCAGCUCCCACAGAACCUGAGGAGAAGCCAAUGUCUGGGUUCCCCAGAUGCCUCCGCUCGCCUCCUCCUCCACCCUCACAGCAGCGCUGGAGACAGAUCCAUGGAGGUGACUCUCCCACUGUCCCAGAUGCACUGGCUGCAUAGUUGGGGAAUGGGCUGUUCCCCAGGCCAACGGGAUGUGCAGCCACCCUCUCCUGGGUUGGGAGGACCCCCUAGUCCCACACAGAGUCUUGCACCAAGCCCAUCUUGGCAGUCGUUGCAGCUGAGGCUUGGAACAGGGUUCCAGCCCAUUGAGAAGAAUAGGAAUGGUGGGGCGGGGGCGAGGGUCAUGGCCCCUUGGGACCUCAUCAAGCCUGAAUAGUCUGGGUCACCUGUAGGCCCUGCCAGGCCCAGCCAGGCCUGCCCCUUGUCUAAGGCACCUUCUUUCUUUUUUCUUUUGAGACAGAGUCUCACUUUGUUGCCCAAGCUGGAGUGCAGUGGAACAAUCUCAGCUCACUGCAACCUCUGCCUCCCAGGUUCUAGCAAUUCUCCUGCCUCAGCCUCCCGAGUUGCUGGAAUUACAGGCGCACGCCACCAUGCUCAGCUGACUUUUGUAUUUUUAGUAGAGACGGGUUUUCACCAUGUUGGCCAGGCUGAUCUCGAACUCCUGACCUCAAGUGAUCCUCCCUCCUUGGCCUCCCAAAGUGCUGGGAUUACAGGCAUGAGGCAGCGCGCCCGCCCUGGUAAGGCACCUUCUGCCCACCUUGCUCCCCCUGCCCCAUUGGUCUCCCCAGCUAGCAGAGCCACCACUAUGCCAGGUUUCAUGGGGCUCCGGC
rnacentral:lncRNA from 10 species